rfam:Firmicutes bacterium CAG:646 genomic scaffold, scf162
AGUAUCCUGGGAUGUGCGAUACCCCCUUAUUUUUGAACCUACAUUUACGUUUAUGGGAUUCCUAUAUUGUUGAUCGGAUGUCAAGCCGUCAUUACGCAGCGGAAGGCAGAAGAGAAAUUGCGGUCGCCCACCUAGCAGUCGCUAGGCGUCAAAAAAAGGGAAACGGCAUUCUGGGACUACG